rnacentral:rRNA from 1 species
UUAAUUGAAGAGUUUGAUCAUGGCUCAGAUUGAACGCUGGCGGCAGGCUUAACACAUGCAAGUCGAGCGGUAGCACAGGGGAGCUUGCUCCCUGGGUGACGAGCGGCGGACGGGUGAGUAAUGUCUGGGAAACUGCCUGAUGGAGGGGGAUAACUACUGGAAACGGUAGCUAAUACCGCAUAACGUCGCAAGACCAAAGAGGGGGACCUUCGGGCCUCUUGCCAUCAGAUGUGCCCAGAUGGGAUUAGCUAGUAGGUGGGGUAAUGGCUCACCUAGGCGACGAUCCCUAGCUGGUCUGAGAGGAUGACCAGCCACACUGGAACUGAGACACGGUCCAGACUCCUACGGGAGGCAGCAGUGGGGAAUAUUGCACAAUGGGCGCAAGCCUGAUGCAGCCAUGCCGCGUGUGUGAAGAAGGCCUUCGGGUUGUAAAGCACUUUCAGCGAGGAGGAAG